rfam:Schistosoma rodhaini strain Burundi genome assembly, scaffold: SROB_scaffold0000019
AUCCAUCUGACGAGUCCCAAAUAGGACGAAACGCACAAUAAACUGGAU